GGAGGUACAGCUCAGCGGUAGAGCACGUGCCUGGUUUGCACAAGGUCCUGGGUUCCAUCCCCAGUGCCUUUG
rnacentral:tRNA from 1 species